rnacentral:tRNA from 1 species
GCUUUAAUAGUAUAACUNAUUACCUUGGUCUUGUAAACCAAAGAUGAAGAUUCUUAUUCUUCUUAAAGC